AUUUGAUCUCAAAUCAGGUAAGGCUACCCGCUGAAUUUAAGCAUAUUAAUAAGCGGAGGAAAAGAAAAUAACUAUGAUUCCCCUAGUAACGGCGAGUGAAGCGGGAAAAGCUCAAGGUUUUAAUCUCCAAGGCCCCUUUGUUUGCCUUGGCGAGGUGUAACCUAUGAAUUAUGGAUUUUAUGGUCAGUAGGGCUUAAAUAUGACUGAAACUAGUUGAAUCUAGUACCAUUGAGGGUGAAAGUCCCGUUAAUAGUCAUAUUUAGCUCUGCUAUUGUACCCCAUUUUUCUAGAGUCGGGUUGUUUGGGAAUGCAGCCCUAAAUUGGAGGUAAAUUUCUCCUAAAGCUAAAUAUAUGCAAGAGACCGAUAGCACACAAGUACCGUGAGGGAAAGGUGAAAAGUACUCUGAAGAGAGAGUGAAAAGUACGUGAAACUGUUAGUAGGGAAACGUUUGCACAGCACACUUGCUUGCAGGUAGUUUAGGCUAUCUGUGGCAGCCUUACAGCAAUUUCCCCUGCUCGAUAAAACCCACUGGAAGGUAGGGAGUCUUCUAGUCAGUUAGCCACUUUAUUGGGGUUUUCUGGCCAGACUUCUGUUUAUAGCCAGUGGGAAUAAUAGAGUGGGUAGGAGAUUGAGGACUGCUAAGCAGCUAUAACCUUUUGGUUGUGGCACUGUCCCGCCUUAUCUCCCAAGUAUAAACCUCUGGCUUGACAUUUUUAUGACAGCCGGGGGGAUAACAGCAAGCUGGCUUUGGAUGAGGGGUAAAUGGAACAAAUGCUUAAUGGAUGUAGGGAAGUGUUGAACAAUCGACCCGUCUUGAACACGGACC
rnacentral:rRNA from 1 species